rnacentral:rRNA from 1 species
AUUGAACGCUGGCGGCAGGCCUAACACAUGCAAGUCGAGCGAGCGGCGGACGGGUGAGUAAUGUAUGGGGAAUUGCACGAUAGAGGGGGAUAACUACUGGAAACGGUGGCUAAUACCGCAUACUAGCGGAUGAACACAUAUGGGAUUAGCUAGUAGGUGGGGUAAAGGCUCACCAAGGCGACGAUCGCUAGCUGGUCUGAGAGGAUGAUCAGCCACACUGGGACUGUGACACGGCCCAGGCUCCUCCGGGAGGCAGCAGUGGGGAAUAUUGCACAAUGGGCGCAAGCCUGAUGCAGCCAUGCCGCGUGUAUGAAGAAGGCCUUAGGGUUGUAAAGUACUUUCAGCGGGGAGGCGUUACCCGCAGAAGAAGCACCGGCUAACUCCGUGCCAGCAGCCGCGGUAAUAC